GGCGAGAUGGCCGAGCGGUCUGAGGCGCUGGAAUCAGGUCAUGGUAUUGAUAAAUCCAGUCCGAAAGGGCGUGGGUUCGAAUCCCACUCUCGUCA